rnacentral:rRNA from 1 species
UACGAAGGGGGCUAGCGUUGUUCGGAAUUACUGGGCGUAAAGCGUGCGCAGGCGGUUUCUUAAGUCAGAUGUGAAAGCCCCGGGCUUAACCUGGGAACUGCGUUUGAAACUGGGAGACUUGAGUGUGGCAGAGGGGGGUGGAAUUCCACGUGUAGCAGUGAAAUGCGUAGAUAUGUGGAGGAACACCGAUGGCGAAGGCAGCCGCGUGGGUUAACACUGACGCUCAUGCACGAA